rnacentral:misc_RNA from 1 species
UAAACUCCACCCAGUGGAGCAGAGAACGGAACCCGGUUACCUACGCCGCCGCCGUCUGAGCCGGCGGUAGCAUCAAGCGGUCCAGAUAGUGCCCCACGCUCGAUCGGACCAGACAUGAAGAAGGCCCUCUCCAUUGGACCGGACGGUUCGCCGGUAACUCCACCUCGAGGCACCGGCUGAAGCGGCAAAGCACUAAACGACGACGUACUCUCGAAACCAUUUACAACACUGCCCCUAACAUUAUUACCACCAUUAAAACCCACAAGACCACCAGCAGCAUCACAGCCAGUGGCAUCAUCGUAAAAAUUGUCAAGUUGAAGGACAGUUCUGGGAGUAGAAGUGUUCGCACUGACAGAAGCUCCAGAAAUGGCACGAAACCCAGUUUCCGAUGGACCAAGCUGCCUCGACCUCAGAGGAGCUGGUUCAUCAAACCGUAACGACUGAGAAGGUGAAACAAAUCGAUCUGAGUGAGUGGGAGAUACAAACCUCGCAGAUGACCUCACAUAACAGAAGGAAUGGCCGAGGGUUUCAUCAAGCGGUUCACCGGCGGUGAAGAUCACCUCCGUCUCACCCCGGUUCACCGCCGGGUUAAAACACGGAAACAGCUGCGAA